CCCUCCCUCCGCUUCCAGGGCCGAAUUGAUUCGUCGCGUCCGGCGUCCUCGGCGCUUUUUUUCCCCCCCGGGGAUUCUUCGGCCUCGCGCGCGCGCGGCGCGCCCCUGCCUGCUCCGCGCCCGGCCCUCCCCAGAAACAGCCGCCGCAGCAGCAGCCAUGAGCGCCUGGAACUCCUACAUCGACAACCUCAUGGCGGAGGCACCUGCCAGGACGCGGCCCCAUCGCGCGCUACAAGGACGGCCCCGUCCGUCUGGGCCGCACAAACCCGGGCAAGUCCUGGCCAACAUCACGCUGGCGGAGGGGGGAACGGGCUGGGGCC